rnacentral:tRNA from 2 species
CGGCCGGCGGGCCCUGGGUUGGUGGCUGGUCGGCUGCGGCCGGGCCAUGUUGUCGCUGGCCCGGCAGCACGCACUGGACCGCGUCCAAUUCGGCCGUCC